rnacentral:rRNA from 1 species
CUACGGGCGGCAGCAGUGGGGAAUUUUGCGCAAUGGGCGAAAGCCUGACGCAGCGACGCCGCGUGAGUGAUGAAGGCCUUCGGGUUGUAAAGCUCUGUGGGGAGGGAAGAAUAAGGCAUGGUUAAUACCCAUGUCGAUGACGGUACCUCCUUAGCAAGCACCGGCUAACUCUGUGCCAGCAGCCGCGGUAAGACAGAGGGUGCGAACGUUGUUCGGAAUUACUGGGCGUAAAGCGCGUGUAGGCGGCUAUGCAAGUCGGAUGUGAAAGCCCUGGGCUUAACCUAGGAAGUGCACUCGAAACUGCAUAGCUCGAGUCCCGGAGAGGAUGGUGGAAUUCUGAGUGUAGAGGUGAAAUUCGUAGAUAUUCAGAGGAACACCGGUGGCGAAGGCGGCCAUCUGGACGGGUACUGACGCUGAGACGCGAAAGCGUGGGUAGCAAACAGGAUUAGAUACCCCGGUAGUC